rnacentral:rRNA from 1 species
GACGAACGCUGGCGGCGUGCUUAACACAUGCAAGUCGAACGGAAGGGCCCUGCUUUUGUGGGGUGCUCGAGUGGCGAACGGGUGAGUAACACGUGAGUAACCUGCCCUUGACUUUGGGAUAACUUCAGGAAACUGGGGCUAAUACCGGAUAGGAGCUCCUGCUGCAUGGUGGGGGUUGGAAAGUUUCGGCGGUUGGGGAUGGACUCGCGGCUUAUCAGCUUGUUGGUGGGGUAGUGGCUUACCAAGGCUUUGACGGGUAGCCGGCCUGAGAGGGUGACCGGCCACAUUGGGACUGAGAUACGGCCCAGACUCCUACGGGAGGCAGCAGUGGGGAAUAUUGCACAAUGGGCGGAAGCCUGAUGCAGCAACGCCGCGUGCGGGAUGACGGCCUUCGGGUUGUAAACCGCUUUCGCCUGUGACGAAGCGUAAGUGACGGUAAUGGGUAAAGAAGCACCGGCUAACUACGUG